rnacentral:rRNA from 1 species
UGCGUAGGCGGUCUGGUAAGUCAGAGGUGAAAUCUUGCAGCUCAACUGUAAAAUUGCCUUUGAUACUGUCAGACUUGAAACAGGUUGAGGUUGGCGGAAUGUGGCAUGUAGCGGUGAAAUGCAUAGAUAUGCCAUAGAACACCAAUUGCGAAGGCAGCCAGCUGGGCCUUGUUUGACGCUGAGGCACGAAAGCGUGGGGAGCGAACA